rnacentral:rRNA from 1 species
AGGAUGAACGCUGGCGGCGUGCCUAACACAUGCAAGUCGAACGUCCUGUCUCGCAAGAGGCAGGGAGUGGCGGACGGGUGAGUACCACGUGGGUCAUCUACCGUGAGGUGAGGAAUACCGGCGAGAAAUCGCCGACAAGACCGCAUAGCCUCGGUGCAAGUCGAGGAAAGCUCUCUCGAGAGAGGGAGCGCCACACGAGGAGCCUGCGCCCGAUUAGCUAGCUGGUGGAGUAAUGGUUCACCAGGGCGACGAUCGGUAGCUGGUCUGAGAGGACGAUCAGCCACACUGGGAUUGAGAACGGCCCAGACUCCUACGGGGGGCAGCAGUGAGGAAUUUCGUCAAUGGGGCAACCCUGAACGAGCAACGCCGCGUGCAGGAGAGGUUUCGGAUCGUAAACUGCUUUUCUCGGGGUAAGAGAACGGACGGUACCCGAGGAAUCAGCCCGGCUAACGUACGCGCCAGCAGCCGCGGU